AUUCAAAAGAACGGAGGUCAUAUUUGAAAAUAUUUGGGGAAAUUGUUUUAAACAAACCAAGUUUUCUUUAUAUAAGAAACAAAACCAAAAAAAUCCAAAACCAAACAAAAGAAAAAACCAAAAGAAAACAAACUACCCCCCCCAAAAAAAAGAAAAAUUGAGGAAAUUUAUCAGCAAUUAGCUGGCCCCUGGAUGGCACUGUUGUGCCUGGAAUUCUCCUUUGAAGUCUGACUAUUUAAACAAAUACAACUGUUGUCAGCUGUCUCUGUAAUACAUAUUAUCUGCAGGAUCUAGCAUUUGGAACUUGUUAUAUUUUAAUGUUUGAUUUCUAACGGGUGCUUAGGCAUCUCCUGUGCGUGAACUGCAACAAAAUCGCCCUUGACUGUGCUUUUUAUCAGGACUUUCAUGCUAGUGAGGCUAGCCCAAACUAGUCUUUUCAAAGUGUUACUUUAAGUUCCAUUUAGGAUGUUUCUGAAGGUGAUGCUGGAUGUUAAGUAGCAGUCUAGGUGUCGUCUCGAUCUGUAAAGAGCCAGCUGAAAAUACUUUGAGCUCAUCCCUUCAUCUUGUAGUGAAGGGAUUAUUUCCAACAGGAGCUGAAUUUAUUUUAAAGCGUAUGUUUGAGGAGAGUGCUUUGAGUCUCACUCCAGAUGAAGGGUGUUUACCACAGCUGGUGCUUCAUAAAAGUUCUGACUUGGACAGUUAUGUCCAGUUUAGAAAAAGUCAGCCAACUGUCAGAGACUGAACUUUUCUUUGUAGUACCACCAAUGUCAGGCAGCUACAGUGAUCUACAUGAGAAGGAGCUGAAUUUGACUGUAUCUGAGUAUAGAUUAGCAUUGGAUGUGAUACACACAAUGCCAUCAAUAUAUGUUUAAGAUUUACUGGAUACAAUCUCAUAUCUAGGUUGUAUUUGUUUGCAGUGGGUGUAAAAUUGGAUGCAAAAAAAUCCAGAAGGAAAGAUCGUCCAAGGAAAAUAAAGAGCUCCUUCCUUUUGUCUUGGUAUUUCAUGCAAAACUAAUCCCUACAUAGGCCAAUCUUAGGUUCCAUUGUGCAUCUUAGCAAAGAGAAAGACAAAAGCAGGAGCAGGGAGCCAGCUGUGCUUCUGUGAAUCCAGCCAGUGCCAGCCUGGCCUCACAUCAGAGUUGUUCCAUCUGUGUAGCCUAUUGGGUCAUAACUUCAAUUUUCCUUUCCAAUUCCUCUGAACACUGAAAUAACUUGCUUUGAAAGUUUCUUAUAGGCCCUGAUGACACAUUUCUGGCCCUUCUUCAUCCAACAAUUUUGUUUUCUUCCCAGUUAGUCAUUGCUGAAAGUAAGUGCUUCAUUUCUUUCUCCCUUUUUAAACCUCAGUGGCCAUCCAGAGUUAAGAAUCUUUGUGCCUCAUAGCUUCCUUGUCAGCCCUUUGUCAUACUAUUUUUUGACUUAAAUGCAUUCUAAGUCAAGAUUUUCUUGUCAGCUUGUCACAGUCAGGAUGCUUUGAGGCAUUGCCCCAUAUAACACUUUUGUACUUUGAUGCUUUGUUCUGACAUUUCUUCUUGUGGUGUCAGUAUUUCACUCCAGUAUUUUGGCACAUAUUCUCAGUGUUGGAAUUCAACUUUCUGAACUAUAUUUUCUCCUUUGUGAACAACUGUUCUGUGUUUGCACAUUGCAGGGCAGCAUAUAUGUGUGGGCUACAAAGAUGGUGAAGGGCCUAGAGGGGGAGGCCAAAUGGGGAGCAGCUGAGGUCACCUGUUUUGUUCAGGCUGGACAAGAGGAGACUGAGGGGAGACCUCACUGCAGCUACAGCUUCCUCAUGAGGGGAAGAUGAGAGGCAGGCACUGAUCUCUGCUCUGUGAUGACACUAACAGGACCCAAGGGAAUGGCCUGAAGCUAUAUCAGGGGAGGUUUAGGUUGGACAUUAGAAAAGGGUUUUUUCACCUAGAGAAUUUUUCCCCAGGAAAGUGGUCACAGCACCAAGCCUGACAAAGAUCAAGAAGUGUUUGGACAAUGCUCUAAAAUAUGUGGAGUGAUUCUUAGGAUGUCCUGUGCAAGGCCAGGAGUUGGACUUGAGUGAUCUUGAUGGGUCCCUUCCAACUCAGGAGGAACCCUUGAAAAUAAACUGCAGAAGCACUCUGAAGAGAUCCCAUGAGCAAAAAAUGGAUGGAGUCAAAUCUGAAGCUGAGCAGAAUUCAGGUAGAAUUACUCUUUCAGGAGUCCAGUCCAAGGAACUCAUCAAACUUCGCAGAUCAGAAGAUGAUCUGUGAAGCUUCCUCACUUCUAAAAUGAAGCUUUAGUUUGGAAAAUCAAAUGAUUAAAGUACAAAGAGUACUACUUUGAAAAUUGCGUAUUUACACGAUACUGUUAAGUGGUGAUUAAUGAGAAUCAUGGUUCAGUGUUGAUAACUAAUAGUUUUGAUAUGUGAGAAAGAUAAAAGACAUACAAGAACAAAUUUUAACAAUGUAAAAAUUUGAAUUUCUGAAUUCACAAUUUUUCUGAAUUCAAAAUUUUUUCUGAAUUCAAAACUCUGAAUUUCUUUCAGGCUGCUAAUUGACAGUUGUUCUUACCAGAAUGUGCAAAGGAUUGUGGCAUUUUAACCUGAGUUUUUAGAGACAUUGUUUCCUCAUAUCCUAUUCUUAAAGUAAACUGAUUUUUUUCUGGAAAAAAAAUCAUGCUUUGUCUCCAUGAAAAUCAGCAAAAUGUAAACAAAAGUUUGGAAUGCACUGUAAGUUUUCUUCAAAUAAUUAGUUAUACUCAGUAGUUCUUGGAACACUCAGAUUUUCUGUCACUGAUCUUCUGACUUUAAAGAAACAUCUGCUGUCCCUUAGGUUAUGAGCAUAAUCACAGAACUAAUAGAAGUUCUAAAAAGUUUGGGUAGCCAACAACAUGAGCAAACUUUGCAAUAUGAGGUGCAUAUUGCAUUUUAUGAUCUCAUAUAUAUUUCAAGCACUGCCCUUAUAUAUCUUCACCUGACCAUCUGUUGUAUCUUUGAAUAGGGAAGUACAUUACUGGCCAAUUUCAGGAUACAUAGAAUAUAAGAUAGAUUGUAGCAACUUGAGAGCAGAAGGUUCUACUUACAAGCAUGUGAGUCCAAUGAAUGGGUACUCAUUUGUAAUAUCAAGUUCUCAAGGAUAACUGUCUCAUGUGUUUCAUCAAAAUGAGCAAAAAGAACAAUUUUCAAUAAUUUGUAUUCAACAUGUAGUUUAUGAAACAGGCUGAUUUUUGUUUUAUACAAUGUAUAGAAACAAAAAAACUGGGACACUUUAUGCUUUAAAGUUGGAAAGUGUUUUCUUGGUUGUUUUUUGUGUGUGUGUGUGUCUGUGUGCUCCUGGCUUAGAACUAGUUUACAAUUAGUCUUAGAAAACGAAUGUUAAUAGCUAAACAUAAUUUGAGAGUGAGAGUCUGUUGUGAAAAUUCUGACUAAUGAAUCUGUAGCUCUAGCACCAUUAGCAGAAUUGUAUUUCAAGGUUUUUAAAAGUGGAGUUGAGAAAUAAAGAUGAAAAAUUAAUGAGUCUUUUUAAUUUACAGGGUUGAACCAGCCCAAACAGUAAAAAGUGUUUCAUUUAAAAGUGCUCCGUGUCAUUACAAGAGAGUACAUUAUGUGAUAUACCCAGAGUUUAUGUAACAUGUUAUCCUUUGGCAAAGAUUAAACAUACUGAGCUUUCAAGCCACAAAAUGAUGGAGAAAAUUUGGUGUCUUUCCAAUGUCAAAGCUGUUGUUGAAUAUUUGCUGUGAAACUAUAAACAAGAUAAUUUUCUGAAUUCUAAAAGCUUGGGGCUGAUGUGGUGGAAAGCAACUUGGCAGGAAAACACCUUGGUAUCCUGGUGGGCACUAGUUGACCAUGACCUAGAAGUGCACCCGCACAGCAAAAAAGGCCAGAACUCUCCUGGGUUAUACUAGGAAUGACAUUGCCUGCUGGUAGGUUGAGGAUAGUGUUUCUCCCCCUCUGUCACAUGUGAGACACAUCUGAAAAUGUCAGUCUAGCUCUAGGCUUCCCAGUGCAAAAAAGACAUGGACAUCCUGGAUCAAGUCAAGUGGAGGAUGACUACAGGACCAUAUGUUCAAGGAACAUGCAAGACAGUUGGGACUGCUCAGCCUUGAGAAAGCUUAGGGGGAUCGUACCAAUGAAUAUAAAUAUGUGAUGAAUGUAGCAGUGCCUUCUUGAUAUGACCAAGAGGCAGCAGGUGCAAACUGAUAAUAAUAUCAAAACCCAGUGAAUAAGUAAGUUUUUGGUGUUUAUUACUCUAUAUUGAAACAGGCAAGUGAUGAGAAGAAGAGUAGGCCAUUCCUAACUGAUCAGUGUUUAUAUCUCAGUUCUUUGGGUUUUUUGAGCAACUUUGUCAUAGCUUGAGGGAACACAUCAGGGGUAGAAUCUUGUAUUCUGGUCAGAAGAACACUGCUAGAGUGAUGAAAAGAUGUUAGCCAGCAGACUUGAGUGAUUUGAACAAAAGAGCCCUCCUUUUAUGUUUUUUGAGGGUUUUUUUGUUUGUUUGUUUUGUGAUGUGAUUUUGUAGGAAGGUGGCCUGUGUUUUUUGUAGCAAGUGAGUAAUAUGCUAGAACAUGUAAGACUCAAGGAUGUUGUUACUGCUUAAAUAUAUUAGGCACCUGCCAUGGUUUUCUUCACAGUCUCCAAAUUAGACCUCCUUUUCAGCCCACUGAAGAUUAUUCUCAAUAGAGAUUCAACCAUACAGAUUGUCAGAGUUUUUCUUCCUGUCUCUUUUCAAAUUGCCUGCAUUAUAUACAUCUGUUCUUGUUUCCAACUUGAUCUAACUUCCAUUUCUGAAAUAAAAGCCUGUCUUGCAUGCCAUAAGCUGUGAAACAGAAUAGGAAAAUAAUUGUAUCUGUUGUCUUGGAUUUUUUAAUUUUUCUUGCAUUUUAUUGAUGUUUCUAAUAAGCACUCCAGCAAAUUUUA